GUGGUUGUUAGUCCUUUCUGUCUCUACAGUGAGAGAGGUGGUUGUUAGUCCUCUCUGUCUCUCUACAGUGAGAGGGGUGUUUGUUAAUCCUCUCUGUCUCUCUACAGUGUCAGACAGUGAGAGAGGUGUUUGCCAGACAGCUGAUGCAGAUUUCUGGACUCUCUGGUGAUAAGGCUGUUGCUAUACUAGAGCACUACAGUACUCUACACAGGUACCCCCCCACACACACACACACACAAAGCUGACCGCUUGGCUUUUCAAUUCAAGGGGCUUUAUUGACAUGGGAAACGUAUGUUAACAUUGCCAAAGCAAGUGAAGUAGAUAAUAAACAUAAAUAUGGGUCGUGUUUACAAUGGUGUUUGUUCUUCACUGGUUGCCCUUUUCUUUUGGCAACACGUCACACAUCCUGCUGCUGUGAUGGCACACUGUGGUAUUUCACCCAGUAGAUAUGGGAGUUUAUCAAAAUUGGGUUUGUUUUCAAAUUCUUUGUGUGUCUGUGUAAUCUGAGGGAAAUAUGUGUCUCUAAUAUGGUCAUACAUUGGGCAGGAGGUUAGGAAGUGCAGCUCAGUUUCCACCUCAUUUUGUGGGCAGUGAGCACAUAGCCUGUCUUCUCUUGAGAGCCAUGUCUGCCUACGGCGGCCUUUCUCAAUAGCAAGGCUAUGCUCACUGAGUCUGUACAUAGUCAAAGCUUUCCUUAAUUUUGGGUCAGUCACAGUGGUCAGGUAUUCUGCCACUAUAUACUCUCUGUUUAGGGCCAAAUAGCAUUCUAGUUUGCUCUGUUUUUUUGUUAAUUACUUGACAGAUUGGAAAGAAUUAUCUUUUUGUUUUCUCAUGAUUUGGUUGGGUCUAAUUGUGCUGCUGUCCUGGGGCUCAGUGGGGUGUGUUUGUUGACAGAGCCCCAGGACCAGCUUGCUUAGGGGACUCUUCUCCAGGUCCAUCUCUCUGUAGGUGAUGGCUUUGUUAUGGAAUGUUUGGGAAUCGCUUCCUUUUAGGUGGUUGUAGAAUUUAACGGCUCUUUUCUGGAUUUUGAUAAUUAGUGGUUGUCGGCCUAAUUCUGCUCUGCAUGCAUUAUUUGGUGUUCUACGUUGUACACAGAGGAUUUUUUUGCAGAAUUCUGCAUGACUAAUUCUUGGUUGGUGAGCGGACCCCAGACCUCACAACCAUAAAGGUCAAU
ensembl:lncRNA